UCCAGACUCCUACGGGAGGCAGCAGUGAGGAAUAUUGGUCAAUGGUCGGGAGACUGAACCAGCCAAGCCGCGUGAGGGAUGAAGGUACAGAGUAUCGUAAACCUCUUUUGUCAGGGAACAAAGGCGGGGACGCGUCCCCGGAUGAGUGUACCUGAAGAAAAAGCAUCGGCUAACUCCGUGCCAGCAGCCGCGGUAAUACGGAGGAUGCGAGCGUUAUCCGGAUUUAUUGGGUGUAAAGGGUGCGUAGACGGGAAAUUAAGUUAGUUGUGAAAUCCCUCGGCUCAACUGAGGAACUGCAACUAAAACUGAUUUUCUUGAGUGCAGGAGAGGUAAGUGGAAUUCCUAGUGUAGCGGUGAAAUGCGUAGAUAUUAGGAGGAACACCAGUGGCGAAGGCGACUUACUGGACUGUAACUGACGUUGAGGCACGAAAGUGUGGGGAGCAAACAGGAUUAGAUACCCCCGUAGAG
rnacentral:rRNA from 1 species